GCGAGAGUGGCGCGCGGCGGGAGGGAAGGAGGGAGGGAGGGGGGAGGAAGGAAGCCUCUUCGUUUCUAUAGAAACCCUAAAGGGCGGCCUGGCCCAGGAGCGGAGGCCUUGGCGCUCAGGCCUUCAUUCCCCCUCAUGCUGAUCUUGACCCGCAGCGGAACCAGGGCUAGGGCGCUGCUGAGGUUGGUUUAUACCAGACAUGGGGAAACCUGGGCCCUCCAGCGGCUGAGGGGGGAAAGGAAAGGGCCUGAGGCUGUUAGGAAUGGUGGGAGUUGAACUCCAAAUCACCUGGAGGCCCAAGUUUUCCCAUGCCUGGUUAUAUAAUUGAUUUAAAAUGGAGGCUCCCCCUUUCACAUAAUUCAAAGACCAAUAAUAGUAGUCAUAAUCGCAGUAGUAAUUGAAAACUUUCUCACUUACUUCCCCUCAGGACUCGAGGUGGGGUACAGCAUAGUUAAAAUACAUAGAUCAGGGGUCCCCAAACUAAGGCACGUGGGCCAGAUGCGGCCCUCCAAGGUCAUUUAUCCGGCCCUGGCCCUCAGUUUUAGAUUUAGGCUCGCCCAAAGUCUGAAAUGACUUGAAGGCACACAACAACAACAGUCCUAAUUAACUUGACUAUCUCAUUGGCCAGAAACAAGACCACACUUCCCAUUGAAAUCCUGAUAAGUUUAUGUUUGUUAAAAUUGUUCAUAUUUUUAAAUAUUGUAUUGUUCUUUCAUUGUUGUUGUUGUUGUUGAUUUUGCACUACAAAUAAGACAUGUGCAGUGUGCAUAGGAAUUUGUUCGUUUUUUUUAAAAUGAUAAUUUGGCCCUUCAAUAGUCUGAAGGAUUGCGGACUGGCCCUCUGCUUAAAAAGUUUGAGGAACCCUAACAUAGAUAAAAAUGUAAAACCCUGCUCAGUUCACCAGAACUCUGAAGCAACUGACAAUUUAAAAAAUGUUCUUUUUUAAAAACUGUUUUUAUAUACAGCUGAAUAAUGUUACAUUAAGUUAAGUUUGUCUUUAUUUGCUUUUAAAUUACUGCAUUUCAAUAUUGCUUGUUUACUUAGGAGAUCCCUUGUUGUCCGGGUAGGAUGGCCUUCCAAUGGUAGUGUCUUGACUGUGGAGAUGAUUUUGGUCACUCUUCUCUCGACACCUUUCAGCUUGUAAAUAUCCAUCUUGAAUUGUAGUGCUCAAAACUUAACUCCAUAUUCCUGAUAAGGCCUGACCAAAUCAAAAUAGAGUCGUCGUCAUAGGUGAUCACCUGUGGCCCAGUAUGAUGGUCUUCCAAGUGUAGGGUCUUGGCGGUGGGUCCGUAGGUGACUGUAGAGACCUAUUCUUGACCCGUAUGGUCUUCCACAGUGAGGACAUCAGUUUCCAGGUAGAAGGCAGUCCCAGUCAAGGUUGGCUUAACGAGCCUUCCCUUGGCACGUUUCUCCCUCCAUUUGUGCCUUUUCAAAUUCCACAGCACUAUUGGUCACCACUGACUUCUAGUUAGAACGCUCAAGGACUAGAGUUUCCCCGUUCUCGAUGUCUAUGCCCCAGUUUUUAAGGUUGGCCUUAAGACCAACUUUAAAUCUCUUUUCCUGUCCACCAACAUUCCGUUUUCCAUUCUUGAUUUGGGAGUAUAGCCACCAGGAAAGGCGGGUAUUAAAUAAAAUGUAUUAUUAAUAUUAUUACUCUAUGUCAUCCCAAUUUCAAAAUACCAGUGUGCCCUAUUAAGAUUAAAAGGAACUAAGGUAUGCAAAGGGAUAUUGUACCACCUUUGCGACCUAACAGAAAAAGAGAGAUGUUAGUACAGUAGAGUCUCACUUAUCCAACAUAAACGGGCCGGCAGAAUGUUGGAUAAGUGAAUAUGUUGGAUAAUAAGAAGAGAUCAAGGAGAAGCCUAUUAAACAUCAAAUUUGGUUAUGAUUUUACAGAUUAAGCACCAAAACAUCAUGUUACACAACAAAUUUGACAGAAAAUGUAGUUCAAUAUGCAGUAAUUCUACGUAGUAAUUACUAUAUUUACGAAUUUAGCACCAAAAUAUCAUGAUGUAUUGAAAACAUUGACUACAAAAAUGCGUUGGAUAAUCCAGAAUGUUGGAUAAGCAAAUGUUGGAUAAGUGAGACUCUACUGUAGCAGCAGCUUUUGUAGACUAAGCCUACAUUCUCAGAUGCAUGGCCUAAGUAGCAAAGUCAUUUGAUGCUAUCAACUUCUUUCUCUCAGUUAGAAUAAUAGCAUAAUAGAGUUGGAAGAGACCCCAGGGGCCAUCUAGUCCAAUCUCCUGCCAUGCAGGAAAGCACAACCAAAGCAUCCCUGACAGAUUUCCAUCCAUCCCCUGUUUAAAGGCCUCCAAAGGAACUUCACAGAAGGACUAUAAGUUCAGAGCAGCAGGUGAUGGAGAUCAUUCCCUUUAAUAAUGGGAAAACAUUUCCCCUCCUGUAGCUCUGAAAGAAUGUGUAUAUGUUGGCAUUAUGUAUGUUGUUCUAUAUUUAAAGGGUGAGCAUUUCUGUCAAAUGUGAUUUUAUCUGUGCUGCAACUUGGUUUAUCUAAUUUUGGAGUUAUUCCUAGGGUGAAGCCUCCUUACGUGUGAACAUGCCAACUCUACUUUCUAGGACUGCUGGAUAUCUAGUGAGGUAAUGCAUCCAAAUUAUGCAGAGCUAUGGUCUUCAAAUUUUUAUGUUAAGAACACAAUGAUGUUCACUGCAAAGUGUGGGCUGGGAAAUGGUUACUGUGUAGCUGGACUUCCUGAGACCCAGCCUUAUACCUGCUAACCUGAACCUUGCCCUAGAUAAAAAAGAAAACUGGCACACUCCUUCCUGGGGUCUGCCCUAUGCAGUAGCAGGUGUGAACAUUCUACCAGUAUUUUGAUGAUCAUGUAUGAUACUGCAUACACGUCUAAUCUGGCUUCUACAGAAAUUUUUACUACAGUCUGUUUUGUCUGGAUAUUUAAAGAUUUGAGUUCUUUAAAAUAUAAGGUAGGGGCUAAUCACAGGGAGCUGCUUUCAGGUAAGGGAUCAAUUCCUUUUUCUGUUAGUUUUCCAUUGUGCCCAUGCUCAUUGAAUCCCCUUCGGUUUAACCAAAAGCACCAGAGUAGGGGGGAAUCAAAAGGUUUUUUUCAGUUGUCCCAGGAGUGAGGCAUAUAAAUAUUGCCUGCACUACAUAGGACAGGUUGCAUUCAGAAGCUGACGUACAUCCCUGAAUAUGAUGUAGACCACCCUGUAGAGGAGAAAGUGGUAGUUGAACUUCUUCUUGUUCACUUAGUAGUACAACAAAGUAUAUUUAGUCUUCAGUGUAUGAUGUUACUUAUGCUGUUUAAACUCUGACAGUUUCAAAUUAUUUUAGGCUUGUCCAAGAAGGCCAUGCAUAAAAAUUGCAGAGAAUUGGCCUUGUGAUUUCUCUCGUUAGAAUUUACAUACUUUUUUCUUUUAAAUAUGAAAAUUUUGCAUUAGUGUAGUUUACAUUGGUAUGUUGAACAUUCCUUGCUUGAAGUUAGAAUGAAACUCUGUCAAGAUACACAUUGUAUUUAUCAUAGGUGCUGAUGAUAUAAAGGAUAAAGGAGCAGAAAAUGAAUAUAAACUCUAUGCCUUAUAGGUGCAUUCCAUGUCUUUCAGAUCUUCCUGGGGAUAUUCUGGAUGCAUACAGGUAAACAUUGAUCAGAAAGCAAGCAUCAGGUACUGCACUGAGAAGACCAUCAUCAUAUUCCUUUGUGAUGUCUUUUUCUGAUGUAAUUCUGGUUUAGUCAUAGCAAUUUAAUUAAAAGCUAAUCUUCAAAUAUUA